GGUCAAGCGAACAAGUGCAUGUGGUGGAUGCCUUGGCGAUCACAGGCGAUGAAGGACGCGGUAGCCUGCGAAAAGCUACGGGGAGCUGGCAAACGAGCUUUGAUCCGUAGAUGUCCGAAUGGGGAAACCCACUCCUUUUGGAGUAUCCAUGGCUGAAUACAUAGGCCAUGUGAAGCGAACGCGGUGAACUGAAACAUCUAAGUAACCGCAGGAAAAGAAAUCAACCGAGAUUCCCAAAGUAGUGGCGAGCGAAAUGGGAUGAGCCUUGCACUCUUUAUUUGUAUUGUUAGCCGAACGCUCUGGAAAGUGCGGCCAUAGCAGGUGAUAGCCCUGUAGGCGAAAACAGUAUGAAAGAACUAGGUGUGCGACAAGUAGGGCGGGACACGUGAAAUCCUGUCUGAAGAUGGGGGGACCAUCCUCCAAGGCUAAAUACUCGUGAUCGACCGAUAGUGAACCAGUACCGUGAGGGAAAGGCGAAAAGAACCCCGGGAGGGGAGUGAAAUAGAUCCUGAAACCGCAUGCAUACAAACAGUCGGAGCCUCGUAAGGGGUGACGGCGUACCUUUUGUAUAAUGGGUCAGCGACUUACGUUCAGUAGCAAGCUUAACCGUAUAGGGCAGGCGUAGCGAAAGCGAGUCCGAAUAGGGCGUUCAGUUGCUGGGCGUAGACCCGAAACCAGGUGAUCUAUCCAUGGCCAGGAUGAAGGUGCGGUAACACGUACUGGAGGUCCGAACCCACUAACGUUGAAAAGUUAGGGGAUGAGCUGUGGAUAGGGGUGAAAGGCUAAACAAACCUGGAAAUAGCUGGUUCUCUCCGAAAACUAUUUAGGUAGUGCCUCGUGUCUCACCUUCGGGGGUAGAGCACUGUCAUGGUUGGGGGGUCUAUUGCAGAUUACCCCGCCAUAGCAAACUCCGAAUACCGAAGAGUGCAAUCACGGGAGACAGACAUCGGGUGCUAACGUCCGGUGUCAAGAGGGAAACAACCCAGACCGCCAGCUAAGGUCCCCAAAUAUAGCUAAGUGGGAAACGAAGUGGGAAGGCUAAAACAGUCAGGAGGUUGGCUUAGAAGCAGCCACCCUUUAAAGAAAGCGUAAUAGCUCACUGAUCGAGUCGUCCUGCGCGGAAGAUGUAACGGGGCUAAGCUAUAUACCGAAGCUGCGGAUGCGUGCUUGCACGCAUGGUAGGAGAGCGUUCCGUAAGCCUGCGAAGGUGCCUUGUAAAGGGUGCUGGAGGUAUCGGAAGUGCGAAUGCUGACAUGAGUAGCGAUAAAGGGGGUGAAAGGCCCCCUCGCCGUAAGCCCAAGGUUUCCUACGCAACGUUCAUCGGCGUAGGGUGAGUCGGCCCCUAAGGCGAGGCAGAAAUGCGUAGCUGAUGGGAAGCAGGUCAAUAUUCCUGCACCAUUGUUAGAUGCGAUGGGGGGACGGAUCGCGGAAGGUUGUCCGGGUGUUGGAAGUCCCGGUCGCUGCAUUGGAGAAGGCGCUUAGGCAAAUCCGGGCGCGUAAUUCAAGGGUGUGGCGCGAGCUCCUUAGGGAGCGAAGCAAUUGGAAGUGGUUCCAAGAAAAGCCUCUAAGCUUCAGUCUAACGAUGACCGUACCGCAAACCGACACAGGUGGGCGAGAUGAGUAUUCUAAGGCGCUUGAGAGAACUCGGGAGAAGGAACUCGGCAAAUUGGUACCGUAACUUCGGGAUAAGGUACGCCCUUGUAGCUUGACUGGCCUGCGCCAGGAGGGUGAAGGGGUUGCAAUAAACUGGUGGCUGCGACUGUUUAAUAAAAACACAGCACUCUGCAAACACGAAAGUGGACGUAUAGGGUGUGACGCCUGCCCGGUGCCGGAAGAUUAAAUGAUGGGGUGCAAGCUCUUGAUUGAAGUCCCGGUAAACGGCGGCCGUAACUAUAACGGUCCUAAGGUAGCGAAAUUCCUUGUCGGGUAAGUUCCGACCUGCACGAAUGGCGUAACGAUGGCCACACUGUCUCCUCCCGAGACUCAGCGAAGUUGAAGUGUUUGUGAUGAUGCAAUCUACCCGCGGCUAGACGGAAAGACCCCAUGAACCUUUACUGUAGCUUUGCAUUGGACUUUGAACCGAUCUGUGUAGGAUAGGUGGGAGGCUAUGAAACCGGAACGCUAGUUUCGGUGGAGCCGUCCUUGAAAUACCACCCUGGUUUGUUUGAGGUUCUAACCUUGGCCCGUGAUCCGGGUCGGGGACAGUGCAUGGUAGGCAGUUUGACUGGGGCGGUCUCCUCCCAAAGCGUAACGGAGGAGUACGAAGGUACGCUAGGUACGGUCGGAAAUCGUGCUGAUAGUGCAAUGGCAUAAGCGUGCUUAACUGCGAGACCGACAAGUCGAGCAGGUGCGAAAGCAGGUCAUAGUGAUCCGGUGGUUCUGUAUGGAAGGGCCAUCGCUCAACGGAUAAAAGGUACUCUGGGGAUAACAGGCUGAUACCGCCCAAGAGUUCAUAUCGACGGCGGUGUUUGGCACCUCGAUGUCGGCUCAUCUCAUCCUGGGGCUGUAGCCGGUCCCAAGGGUAUGGCUGUUCGCCAUUUAAAGAGGUACGUGAGCUGGGUUUAAAACGUCGUGAGACAGUUUGGUCCCUAUCUGCCGUGGGCGUUGGAUAUUUGAAGGGGGCUGCUCCUAGUACGAGAGGACCGGAGUGGACGAACCUCUGGUGUACCGGUUGUCACGCCAGUGGCAUCGCCGGGUAGCUAUGUUCGGAAGAGAUAACCGCUGAAAGCAUCUAAGCGGGAAACUCGCCUUAAGAUGAGAUAUCCCUGGGGACUAGAUCCCCUUGAAGGGUCGUUCGAGACCAGGACGUUGAUAGGUC
rnacentral:rRNA from 1 species